rnacentral:rRNA from 1 species
AUGGUGAAACCGCGAAUGGCUCAUUAAAUCAGCUAUUGUUCCUUAGAUCUUACAUGGUUACUUGGAUAACUGUAGUAAUUCUAGAGCUAAUACAUGCCAUUAUAUCUUGUCCUUCGGGAAAAGAUGGAUUUAUUAGAUCAAAAUCAACCAGAGCUUGCUCUGUACAUUUGAUGAUUCUGGAUAACUUCACUGAUCGCAUGGCCUUGCGCUAGCGACGUAUCUUUCAAGUGUCUGCCCUAUCAACUAUCGAUGGUAGGUUAUAUGCCUACCAUGGUUAUGACGGGUAACGGGGAAUCAGGGUUCGAUUCCGGAGAGGGAGCCUUAGAAAUGGCUACCACAUCUAAGGAAGGCAGCAGGCGCGCAAAUUACCCACUCUCAGAUCGAGGAGGUAGUGACGAAAAAUAACGAUGUAGGACUCUUACGAGGCUCUACAAUUGGAAUGAGAACAAUUUAAAUCCUUUAACGAGGAACUAUUAGAGGGCAAGUCUGGUGCCAGCAGCCGCGGUAACUCCAGCUCCAAUAGCAUAUAU